UACAGAGGUCCCAAGCGUUGUUCGGAUUCACUGGGCGUAAAGGGUGCGUAGGCGGUCGGGUAAGUCUGAUGUGAAAUCUCACAGCUUAACUGUGAAACUGCAUUGGAUACUAUCCGGCUCGAGGAAUGGAGGGGAGACUGGAAUACUUGGUGUAGCAGUGAAAUGCGUAGAUAUCAAGUGGAACACCAGUGGCGAAGGCGGCUUACUGGUCCGGUACUGACGCUGAGGUGCGAAAGCGUGGGGAGCGAACAGG
rnacentral:rRNA from 1 species